rnacentral:lncRNA from 1 species
CACGCAGGCCCGACAAUAAACGAGAAAUAUAAUGGAGGCUCGCAGACCUCAAUAAUAAUAAUCACAAGUACACACAUCACACGGUCCAUGAUCAUCCGUCCACACAUCAUACAUCACAUGUAUAAAUAAUCAUCAUCAUGUAGGACUACUAGAUAAUAAUAAAAAUAAUAAUCAACUAAACCUUUUAAUUAAUUAAUAUUUUAUGAAAUCAGGGACAUGUAGGGAAUUUCUCAAUUCC